UCCUCACUUGCCAUUCCUGCUCCUUUAGGCGGCAUGACUGUUUAGAGCUAGCGCGAUGUAGCAGCCCCCUUCAGUCGGCCUCCGUGCAGAGCGUUCUGAGCGAGCGCGUAGUUGAAACGGUGUUACAAGCUCGCACUUAAUCGCCGAUCUCCGAUCGUCUUUCCCUAUACGAAAACAGCUUUACCCGAUCAUCUAUCCAACCUCCAACCGAAUUCCUUAAUCAAAUCCAGCAGUUUAUUCCUUAAAAAAAUAUCGGCAGCGAUCCGGCCGUGCCAAACAGGAAAACAGCGUGACAGGAAAUGACGUUCCUGUAGUCAGUCAUAAUGUUGAGGAGAUGAAGAAGAAGAAAGUAGAUUGGAAGAAAGUUACUGACAUGAUGGCCAGCACAUUCUCUCUACGACGAAAAGAAAUAGUCGAAGAACAACCACUUGUGGCAGAGGUGAAAGCCAAAUGGCCAGCUUUGUUCACUGAUCGACAGAUUGAAGCUGAAUUCACUCGACUUACGUCCAUUGGCUUGUGGGAUUCGUUCGUUUCUGGGCUGGACCAGCAUUUGGCUAGAUUCUUGCAGAUGUACAGGGCCAAGAGUCACUGCAUUUCAGAGCCUCCUGACUAUGCUUGAUUAUGAUAAUUCACUCCAAAAUAAAAGGUCAGUCACGCUUAGAGGCCUUCCACACUUUCUCAGAGAGGAUCCAUCCAAGUUUUUAAAGACUGCUGAGGCGGUGGACCACCGGGAAAGCCUCUUAGCGCAGUUUGUGAAGUGGUACAGCGUAUCCUCGGGGAAGACAGUGCAGUGAUUUGUGGUGUGGACGGGGGUCAGGAUCCUGCAUUAUUGAAAUUUGAAAACCUAUC